rnacentral:rRNA from 1 species
CGAAAGCCUGACGGAGCAACGCCGCGUGCGGGAGGACGGCCUGUGGGUUGUAAACCGCUUUUCUCAGGGAAGAUAAUGACGGUACCUGAGGAAUCAGCAUCGGCUAACUCCGUGCCAGCAGCCGCGGUAAUACGGAGGAGGCAAGCGUUAUCCGGAAUGAUUGGGCGUAAAGCGUCCGCAGGUGGCGAUGCAAGUCUGCUGUCAAAACCCAGGGCUCAACUCUGGUCAGGCAGUGGAAACUACAAAGCUAGAGUCUGGUAGGGGCAAAGGGAAUUCCCGGUGUAGCGGUGAAAUGCGUAGAGAUCGGGAAGAACAUCGGUGGCGAAAGCGCUUUGCUAGACCAGAACUGACACUCAGGGACGAAAGCUAGGGGAGCG